rnacentral:rRNA from 1 species
UACGUAGGCAGCAAGCGUUGUUCGGAGUUACUGGGCGUAAAGGGUGCGUAGGCGGUCGGGUAAGUCUGAUGUGAAAUCUCACAGCUUAACUGUGAAACUGCAUUGGAUACUAUUCGGCUUGAGGUCUGGAGAGGAGAUUGGAAUUUACGGUGUAGCAGUGAAAUGCGUAGAUAUCGUAAGGAAGACCAGUGGCGAAGGCGAAUCUCUGGACAGUUACUGACACUGAGGCACGAAGGCCAGGGGAGCAAACGGG